AUCGAUGGAUCUUUGUGGUUUCCUCGUUGGAGUCUUUAUUGUAGAUGCCUUGGUCUUUGCCAGACAAAAGCUAUUAUACAUUUUACUUUCUCUAACAUUAAAAUAUGCUUCUAAGUAUUGACAGAACUAAGUAAAGCAUUGGAUUUCUGUAGGACUUUCUCACUUGUUUGUAAGCUCUGACACAUCCUGGUUCUAUUUAAAGUAUAAAGUGAAGCUUCAUAUUCUAUCAGCUGUUCCUGAAGAGAUCCCAGUAGGACAGUCGGUCUUCUCAUCUGUAGAAAGCACCAAUUGGUGUGAAGUCUCAGGAGAUUUUUAUAAAGUUAUGCCAACAUCAUGCACAAAAUAUAAAGGUAUCACAUUUAAAAACAAAAUGAAGGGCAUCAUAUUUUGUUUAAUAAAUAGAAAUUAAAUUAUUGGAAUUAAUCUAACCUAACUUAACUAACCUGCUUAAUCUAAUCAUUUCAAAACUUAAUACAGCUCAUUUCAGCUUUAAAUUGAUUAGCCUUUGUUUUCUAUACUACAGGAACUUUACAGUGGUAGCAGGGACUGCAAUAUUCUCGCUUGGGUGCCAGCUUCAUAUGAACCAGUUCCUGAUGAUGACGAUGAAGCUCCAACCAAAUCGAGGUUGAACCCAGCAUUCACGGAUGCCUGGAGCAGCAGUGACGAGGACGGGUGACUUCAGCCUGGUGCCUCAGCUCCUUGUUCCAUCAGACUUCCACAGCAGUGUUGUGUGCACUUCAGCACGGGGCUGGUCUUUCCAUUGUUGUUGGUUGUCUCACUGUGUAACCCUGGCUAGCAUGGACUAGCCUGGAACUCUGUAUAGAGCAGACUCGGCUCAGACUUGCAGCCAUUCUCCUGCCUUUC
rnacentral:lncRNA from 1 species